rnacentral:rRNA from 1 species
UCCAUUGCCGAGUGGUUCCGGUGCUACGUAUCGGCUGGACUCUCCCACUAGCCGGUGUGACCCUGACUCUGUGCCGGGUCUGAGGAUGCCCUCCGUCGUCAUCCCUUAGAAGCCGUUACCUGCUUUCAGACUGGCUCGUUGCGGCGCACUCACUUCUUCCAAAAGCCUAGCAUUUUGAGACAACAAUCUCUUCUUGUUCCUACUCUCAUCUUGCAAGUAGGGAACUGCCAUAGAUUGGUCUUUCGGUGCCGAUUGAUGCACGGUCGUCGGCGCCAUUAUGCAUCCACCGUUCGCAACAGGCCUAAAUAACCCGCAUUUCGCUCGCGUCCGCCAAAGAAUUCAGACUACACUUUCGGGGGCCGAGUUGGCCCCUCCCAGUAACCUUUGACCCUCUGAACUCACGUCUUCUCCUCUCACCUUAAGGUACACAUCGCCACUUUACGCAUCUAUAUACCUCCUUGUGGUCACCGCUUCCGCCGAGAGACCAGACAUCGACUGCGACUCCGAGCUUUCGCACCCCUCGCUUGUCCUAAUCUAUGGGACCAUCAGGUGCGGCAUUUGCUACUCACGAUUCACAACCUCCCAAAGGCGGGAAGUCACGACGUCGUUUGCGUAAUUCGUGAGGCG